UAAGGAAUAUUGCUCAAUGGGAGAAAUCCUGAAGCAGCAACGCCGCGUGGAGGAUGAAGGGUCUAUGACUUGUAAACUCCUGUAAAGAAGGAAAAAAUUCCCAUUAGAUGGGAGAUGAUGGUACUUCUGGAGUAAGCCCCGGCUAACUACGUGCCAGCAGCCGCGGUAAUACGUAGGGGGCAAGCGUUGUCCGGAUCUACUGGGUGUAAAGGGUGCUCAGGCGGAUUUGUAAGUCAGAGGUGAAAUCUUACAGCUUAACUGUGAAACUGCCUUUGAUACUGCAAGCCUAGAGUAUGGAAGAGAGUGAUGGAAUAUCUGGUGUAGCAGUGAAAUGCGUAGAUAUCAGAUAGAACACCAAUGGCGAAGGCAGUCACUUGGUCCAUUACUGACGCUAAAGCACGAAAGCGUGGGUAGCAAACA
rnacentral:rRNA from 1 species